AGGACCGUAGCUCAGUUGGUUAGAGCGCCACGUUGACAUCGUGGAGGUCAGCGGUUCAAAUCCGCUCGGUCCUACCA
rnacentral:tRNA from 31 species